GCGGCGCGACAAAUGGUACAAAGUAGACGAAAGUAUGAACUGGGAGCACGGCACAUAGUAGAUUCGCAACCUGAAAGCUGGUCAGGGCGCAUCAGCCUCCUGAACCUGCAAGGCCGCAACAUUCUGAUCUGGAACAACUCGGAAGAACGUGAAGAAAAGGUACAGUAAAAAGAAGAUGCACUUCCAGGUAUUCAACCUCCCCGAAUCAAUCAGAGCAGGAACGGAAUUUGUUCUCUUUUUUUACAGCCACAUAAGUAUAUCAUAUGCAUUGCGCAUCGACGCACGGGAUCGAUGCUUUUGUUGCCAUCAGGAAAGCCAGUAAAGCUAUAGCCAGCUAAUCACACCACAGGGACAGAACAGAAAAAUAGAAAUGGUGGUGGAGAGGAGCCUUUUUUCUUUUCUUUUCUAUGCCGAGUCAUGAUGUAAUAUUGGAUUGAUUAACACAACAUAUGGUGCGACCACAGUCACAGCAGACCGAGCAGAGACGAGCGCUUUGGCGUCGGCAUGUGGCUAGCGGCAGACGAUGCAGAGGACGACGGCGAUGAUGAGGAUCAGGAUGAGGAGCGGCAGGGAUAUGAUGAGCACGAACUCCAUCCGCCCCUUGCCUGCAGACAGAAUAAUCGAAAAUUUAAUCUUUCAUUCUUGGUUUUUUACGUCGAGAAACAGAAAAGUGCUACUCUGAAGUCUCAGCUCUCAAGAGGGGUAGAAAGCAAAGCAAUAUCAAAAUGCUAUGCCAUUGCCUUUUCAGUCUAUCUCUCCCUGAAGGCCUGAACUGCUGUUCAACGGCCGCCUGUGGAUCUAAUGCUCCAACAGUGGGUCAGACCCUCUAAUCGUGCAGAAAGAUUCAGACGGGAAUGAGUUACUCCCUCCGAUCCAAAAUAAACAUCGUGGUUUUAGUUCAAAUUUGAAAGAACUUGUAAUUCAUAUUUCCUGAGCCGCACCAAAUCUUGUAAGGAUUGCUUGCAACUUGUCAAGCAUCCGCCUCGAUCUUGGCUUGUUCGAGGCUUGGAUGCUCAGCAAAGGCAAAGCCAGCCCCUUAAUUAUUACCAAAGGUGGGGGGGAUGGGGAUCUAAUUCCCUUGAAUGACCACAUCAAUUAGACAAUUAUCAGUGAAACGAUGGAUUCGAUUCCUCGUUGGCGUGCCGUCCUUUCGCAUGGGUCAAACCUGGCUAAAUAAAGCUCUCUACAACAGAAGAUUGUAGGUGAUGUAGGUGGUGGACUAUAGGUUCCUGAUCCAUUAUAAUUGGUGAAACUCCCUCGGAUUUGACUGAAUUAGAACAACUGCUAGUGCUACUCAAUCCUAAGCAGCAGCUGGGUGGUCUAAUUCGAGCUAAAUAAUUAGUACUUGUACUCGCUAUUCAAAAGCUGCAGAGCAGUACCGACUGGAUCACUCUUGGAGCCAGUCAACAGAGGGGUCACCCGUGCGUGAGUCCUGGAGCUCACUGAGGAAUAAAUCCAAAAACAAAAAACAAGAUUUGACAGGGACAAGAUGAGAAUUAAUUGUCUAGCACAGUACCUGCCCAAUCGAGCUGCUGAUCUUGCUGCUGCUCCUGGCCUCCUUCCUUGAUCCGUCGGAGACGAGAGGCUUGGGAGGGAGGCGGAGGGGAGGAGCGGAGCAGUGGAGCUUGGCGGCGAUGGGGCAAGUGGUGUUGGUGCCGGUGCGUGGGCUAAAAUAAUCGCUAAUCAGGCAGAGAAGAGUGGAGUGGAGAAGAAAGGAAGAAAGUAGAAGCGGAAAAACGCGUGACGUGUGGCUCGCGAGUGUGAACCGAGGACCCCGGAGCCACGCCCGGGCCCAGGUGUCAGGGAGACGUCUGCGUCCGGUGGACGGUGCGCCACGUGCGUGCGUCUGGUUGGACGGACAACCAGGGGUGAGAGCAAACGAAAGACAGACGCGGCGAUCACACUGCUGAAAGAAGCGUGGCCAAUAUCUGAAGAAUUCUUCAGGAGCUUCCUUUUUUUGCGACAAAGUCAAGAGCUUACAUUACACGGCAGUAUGCACUGUACUGACACCCGCACACACACGAACAGACACAUGGAUCAAUCAAUACUCAAUAGUACAUUUCAUGUCGAGAAGCUAGUAGGAGAAAAGGGGAUAGCGAUCACACCGAGCAAGAGCUGCAGACAAAAUACACGAUGACAGUAUGAGACAGACGCAGCAACAACACUACUACUACGAGGCUACAUGAUACGCAACAUCCGGCGAGGCGAGCUGGCUGGCUGGUUAACGGCAGACGAUGCAAAGGAUGAUGGCGAUGAUCACCACCAGCGCCACGAGGGGCAGCGAGAUUAUCAGUACCAUCUGCAUCUUGCCGGCUGCUGGUGCUCUGACGCGCGACCUGCAAAACGAGGAGGGAAAGAAAACAUCUCACUGACGAGUGACGAACAUGUAGCCCCGAACUACUGUCAAAGAUAUAGUAUAUGAGCUCUGCCUGGUGGGUAAACAACCGUAUAUAUCAGCGUACGUACCUGAAGGCUGAAGCUGUGGCUCCUCCUGCUGCUCUGCUCAAGAUAUCUCUCCCAGCUGAUGGCGAGAAGCUUAAGCACGAGGAUGAGGCAGGCAGAGCGAAGCAAACGGAGGGGGUUAAAUGGAGGGAUUAUGGAAGGGAGGGGAGGGGAGGGGCGGGGAAAGCCAAGGAAUCAAUCCGGGAGAAUGGUUUGCGCUGGAAGUAUCGUCGGUUAAGUACCCCCCGUCCAAGGAGAAUCAAGUAAGGCGACGCGUGCCACCAGCAGCUAUUAAGCUUUCCGUCUUUUCAUCAUUCCCAUGUCGGCAGGCAUGCUUGUUUCAACCGGAAGCAUCCAGGCAUGCCCAUG
rnacentral:lncRNA from 1 species